rnacentral:sRNA from 1 species
UCUAGUUGCAGCGAUAGUGCUGGAUGA